UAAAAAGUAAAAUCACAAAAAUACUGAACUCAGAGGAAAAUCAAUUUGGAAAGUCCAUAAUCACAUGGCAAAAUCAAAUAACAAAACGCAUCAAAAACGAAUGGACAAGAACUGUCAUAUUCCUGACUUGGUACAGGCAUUUUCAAAUGUAGAAAAUGGUGGAUUAAACCUGGUUCUAUGGCGCUAACCUUCUCACUUUAAUAACAG
rnacentral:lncRNA from 1 species